AAUCUUGGACAAUGGGCGCAAGCCUGAUCCAGCCAUGCCGCGUGAGUGUGAAGGCCCUAGGGUCGUAAAACUCUUUCAACUGUGAAGAUAAUGACGGUAGCAGUAGAAGAAACCCCGGCUAACUCCGUGCCAGCAGCCGCGGUAAUACGGAGGGGGUUAGCGUUGUUCGGAAUUACUGGGCGUAAAGCGUACGUAGGCGGACUAUUAAGUCAGAGGUGAAAUCCCAGGGCUCAACCCUGGAACUGCCUUUGAUACUGGUAGUCUUGAGUUCGAGAGAGGUGAGUGGAAUUCCGAGUGUAGAGGUGAAAUUCGUAGAUAUUCGGAGGAACACCAGUGGCGAAGGCGGCUCACUGGCUCGAUACUGACGCUGAGGUACGAAAGUGUGGGGAGCAAACAGGAUUAGAUACCCUGGUAGUCCACACCGUA
rnacentral:rRNA from 1 species